rnacentral:lncRNA from 1 species
AAUGAGAAAAGUCGAAAUUACUAUUGCUGUUCUGGUUUUACCCGAAUGUAAGAACUGCGCCUGUAAUUGGUUGUUUUGGCUGGAAUUGCUUCCGAAUUGAUUGUUGAGGCCUUCUGAUGAAAUUUAUCCCUGUUUCUUAGAUUUCAUCUGGUUUUGGAAUUUCUGGAUUUGGACUUGGAGAGCCUGAGUUAUGAUGUUUCCGCUAGAAUGCGUUUUGUGAAUCUAUUUUUACGGUUUUGAUGUAGUAUCUU